rnacentral:rRNA from 1 species
GGGGGCUGUCAUACCGGAGUUAAUGCACCGGAUCACAUUAGAACUCCGCAGUUAAGCGCGCUUGGGCUAGAGUAGUACUGGGAUGGGUGACCUCCCGGGAAGUCCUAGCGUUGCACCC